UACGGGGGGGGCAAGCGUUGUUCGGAAUUACUGGGCGUAAAGGGCUCGUAGGCGGCCAACUAAGUCAGACGUGAAAUCCCUCGGCUUAACCGGGGAACUGCGUCUGAUACUGGAUGGCUUGAGUUUGGGAGAGGGAUGCGGAAUUCCAGGUGUAGCGGUGAAAUGCGUAGAUAUCUGGAGGAACACCGGUGGCGAAGGCGGUUCUCUGGGCAUUACCUGACGCUGAGGAGCGAAAGUGUGGGGAGCGAACAGG
rnacentral:rRNA from 1 species